GGGGGCGUAGCUCAGAUGGUAUAGCGCUCGCUUCGCAUGUGAGAUGUACGGGGAUUGAUACCCCGCGCCUCCA